rnacentral:ncRNA from 1 species
UCCGAAGUUUCCCUCAGGAUAGCCGACGCUCAAAGUCUUGCGGUUUUAUCUGGUAAAGCGAAUGAUUAGAGGCCUUGGGCCGAAACGAUCUCAGCCUAUUUUCAAACUUUAAAUGGGUAAGAAGCCCAGCUUGCUGGCUUGGAGCUGGGCGUGGACUGCGAGCUGCCUAGUGGGCCACUUUUGGCAAGCAGAACUGGCCCUGCGGGAUGAACCGAAAGCCAUGUGACCCCUGAAGGGUUGUGCCAGGGCAAUCCUGAAUUUGAUCUGGGCCGGGGUCCAGCACAGGGGGACCCAGACUUGGA